GAUGAACGCUGGCGGCGUGCCUAAUACAUGCAAGUCGAGCGAACAGACGAUGAGCUUGCUCCUCUGACGUUAGCGGCGGACGGGUGAGUAACACGUGGAUAACCUACCUAUAAGACUGGGAUAACUUCGGGAAACCGGCGCUAAUACCGGAUAAUAUCUUGAACCGCAUGGUUCAAUAGUGAAAGACGGCUUUUCUGUCACUUAUAGAUGGAUCCGCGCCGCAUUAGCUAGUUGGUAAGGUAACGGCUUACCAAGGCAACGAUGCGUAGCCGACCUGAGAGGGUGAUCGGCCACACUGGAACUGAGACACGGUCCAGACUCCUACGGGAGGCAGCAGUAGGGAAUCUUCCGCAAUGGGCGAAAGCAUGACGGAGCAACGCCGCGUGAGUGAUGAAGGUCUUCGGAUCGUAAAACUCUGUUAUUAGGGAAGAACAAAUGUGUAAGUAACUAUGCACGUCUUGACGGUACCUAAUCAGAAAGCCACGGCUAACUACGUG
rnacentral:rRNA from 1 species